GACUCGGUAGCUUAGUUGGUGAAGCAUUCAUAUAGCAUACAAGAGUCCUGGGUUCGGAUCCCAGCCGAGCA
rnacentral:tRNA from 1 species